rnacentral:rRNA from 1 species
AGUGAACGCUGGCGGUAGGCCUAACACAUGCAAGUCGAACGGCAGCACAGUAAGAGCUUGCUCUUACGGGUGGCGAGUGGCGGACGGGUGAGGAAUACAUCGGAAUCUACUUUUUCGUGGGGGAUAACGUAGGGAAACUUACGCUAAUACCGCAUACGACCUACGGGUGAAAGCAGGGGAUCUUCGGACCUUGCGCGAUUGAAUGAGCCGAUGUCGGAUUAGCUAGUUGGCGGGGUAAAGGCCCACCAAGGCGACGAUCCGUAGCUGGUCUGAGAGGAUGAUCAGCCACACUGGAACUGGGACACGGUCCAGGCUCCUACGGGAGGCAGCAGUGGGGAAUAUUGGACAAUGGGCGCAAGCCUGAUCCAGCCAUACCGCGUGGGUUAAGAAGGCCUUCGGGUUGUAAAGCCCUUUUGUUGGGAAAGAAAAGCAGCAGGUUAAUACCCCGCUGUUCUGACGGUACCCAAAGAAUAAGCACCGGCUAACUUCGUG